AUUGAACGCUGGCGGCAUGCCUUACACAUGCAAGUCGAACGGUAACAGGUUAAGCUGACGAGUGGCGAACGGGUGAGUGAUACAUCGUGACGUGCCCAGUAGCUGGGGGUAGCCCGGCGCAAGCCGGAUUAAUACCGCAUACGACAUACGUGCUAAGGGGGGGGGUCGCAAAACCUCUCGCUAUUGGAUCGCCCAAUGUCAGAUUAGCUAGUUGGUGGGGUAAAGGCUAACCAAGGCGACGAUCUGUAGCUGGUCUGAGAGGAGGAUCAGUCACACUGGAACUGAGACACGGUCCAGACUCCUACGGGAGGCAGCAGUGGGGAAUAUUGGACAAUGGGCGCAAGCCUGAUCCAGCCAUGCCGCGUGCGUGAAGAAGGCCUUCGGAUUGUAAACCGCUUUUGUCAGGGAAGAAAUCCUGUGAGUUAAUACCUCGGGGUGAUGACGGUACCUGAAGAAUAAGCACCGGCUAACUACGUG
rnacentral:rRNA from 1 species